ensembl:processed_transcript
UUUCUGUGCAAAUGAAACAGGCGUUGUAAGAAUGAGAUUCACUUUGGACCACUCUUCACAUUCCAAGUCAUGACUGCGUUAAGCAGCACAAUCCCAUCUCUGGUUGAUGGGCAGAAAAAGUGGGCAGCUUGCCAGGUAGACGUUUCCAUGACUCCCAGCCCCCAAAGGUGAUGCGUUUUUCAGCUAAUUCAAUGAAGAGUGGGCUGAACUUUGGGUCUAAACGAGACAAUAGCUGCCUUCGCAGUAUCAGCAGAAUGGUUGAUGGGAAUGCCUCACUCUACAUUUGGCAGAGAAUCAUGUGACCUGACGACUGAGAUUUUGUGAUGGUGCCAACGGAGACUUGGAAGCAGCAAACGGCCCUGACUUUUUUCUUCUUUUCUAGCAAGGAUCAGAAAAUGGUGGAUCUUAAGACUUGACUUUAGCCAGUCUCAGCAAGCAACUGAGCUUUGAAGCACAACCUCGUCUUUAUUCUGGGCUUUUGGCAGGCCACCAGGAGGCUGUCCCUUUCACGCCUGAUAAAUUCGGCUGCUUAUCUCUAAAGAGAGAGAGAAAAGGAAAAUAAUAACAGAAUAUUGAGGCAUAACAAGUGAAUCCUAAAUUGUAUGUGCUUUUUUUCUUUUGUUUUCUUUUCUUUCUUUCUUUUUUUUACCUUUCCUGACUGCUGUUUUGUUUUGUUUUUUAAUUUUUAUGUUAAUAUCUUUUCUUUUUCCUUUUUUUUUUCUUCUUUUGGUUACUGAAGAAUUCAAGUAGUUUGGGUUAUUUAUGUAUGUAUGUAUUUGGUUUAUAAUGAACAGGCAUUUGAACUGGUCGGACAGGACGACAGAGCAGUGAGCAUGAGAUCAUUGCAGCCGAGUAGCAAACUGGCACCCAGCCUUUUCACCCCUUCGGUUCGGGAGACGAACGUGUGCAGUCCUCGUUUCUCAAGUCAGCCUGGAAGGAUUCCGGGACUCUCCCACCUUCUACCAUUCUGCUGCCAGUCGGUGGCAACGAUUGGUGCAGAUUCUGCGCAGUGCUUUGUGCCUGGAAUAUGGAGAAGGAAGAGAAUGAAGACAAGCCCUCUGGACCUCCUUCUCUGAGAAAUACCGGGAGCCCAGAAGAAACAGAAAAAAAAAAAAUCCAAAACAAAAACAAAAAACCAAACCAAACAAAAACCCUGAGCUUCUCAGUAUUCGCCAGAGUGCUGAAAAAUACUGAUAAUGAUGCGGAAUGCCUGCGUGAAAACAAAAACAAACCAAAAAUGCAAACCGAGACAAACCCAAAAAAGCAAACUUUGGUUUGUCUAACUCCUGAGACAUCGGGCUUCGUUAAGCAGCUUGGAAGGCAACACAAAUCUAUGACCCUUCUUUCUUUUAUUUAUUUAUUUUUGUUAUUAUUUCAAAAAACAAUGGCCUAAGAGCAGUACAUUGCACUUGGUGAACCCGCACUUUCAUACCAGGUAUAACUUUUUUUUUGUUUCUUUUUACGCUUUCUAUUCCAUAAAUUAGACUCCUUGCAGUUUCAAUUUGUUCUUAUUAACUCAUUACCCACUUUACACUUUUUUCUUUUGCUUUCUUACUCUAAUCGUGAUUAGCGUAGACACUAAACUGGAAUAAGAAAACUCUCUAUAGACAUAAGCUCCUGCUUUGGUUGUUCACAGAAGUUUUAGGCAGACAGUAGUGUGUGUUAUCUCUGAUUUUUGUGUCCAGUAAUAUAUUUUGUGGAGAAACGGGCUUGGGAAUCAGUAGUAGUAAGGAAAGUAAAACCUUUUCUGUGACUCCUAAUUUUAAAUGCAAAAGAAGAAAUUUCUCGAAGUUCUAAAAAGAGAUCUUGCUUCAAAAAUGCAUCCAUAUAAUGCUAAAUAAAAUUUCUUUUCAUGCCGGUUUCAGUAGAGGAGAGAUGGGAAUAAACAGAGCGGAUUCUCCGUUGCGAAGUAAAAAAAAUAGCUUGUUCCUUAAUAAUUCUACUUCUAAAAAUACAAGGAAAAAGAAUUUGCCCUAGAGCAGUUGGGAAGCGUUGGAAGUUGCCCUUCACUGUUGUGGUGGGGAAAGUCUGUACAAACUUGCUUUCAAGUUCAGAGUUGCUUUGGCUCGGCAGGUGAAUACAUUGCAUUCUAAUUAUUUUCUCUAUUUGUAGAAGGAAAUUGCUGAGCAAGUCAACGUCUUGUAACAAAAUGCAGCUUUUCCUAUUUUAGUGGUAGAGGGUUAAAUGAUAUGCCCCCUUUAAAAACUUCUUUACUAAACAAUGUUUCUAAACAUGCAAGAAAAUCUC